GUGUGCUGCCACGUGGUCGUGUGUUGGUGAGUUGGCCAGUUGAUAUUCGGCGCAUUCACACAGAACAUGUUUGGCUUCGGACGUCAAACGGUACACCGGUUUUCCUCCGUUGCCACCUACACGAUAGACACAGAUGAUAAUUUUUCUCAUGGAAUGCUACAAGAACUGAUGAUCAGAGCCGAUCUCAAUUUUCUUCUCAUAAUCUAUGUGAACUUUGAGCACCAGGCUCGGAAAUUGCCACUCAACUCAUAAACUUUAUUAGUUUAUUGUUAUUGUAUGGUAAUAUUUAAAUCUAUAACUAUGUAUAUAAUCCGUACUAAUUUUAAAACAUUUUCCUUAAUUUGAAUUUUAUUUAAACGACGUAAUUUUUACUUUAAAUCGGCUGUAAGUAAUACUAUAAAUGCUUAUGAAUUAAAAUUGUUUCAUACCUA